rnacentral:rRNA from 1 species
GACGAACGCUGGCGGCGCGCUUAAUACAUGCAAGUCGAGCGAGAACCAGGGCUUCGGCCCUGGGGACAGCGGCGAACGGGUGAGUAACACGUGGGUAAUCAACCCUCGACACUGGGAUAGCCCGGGGAAACCCGGAUUAAUACCGGAUACCCCGUCCGGCCUUCGGGCCGGCCGGAAAAGGUAGCUUCGGCCUCCGGUCGGGGACGAGCCCGCGGCGGAUUAGCUUGUUGGCGGGGUAAUGGCCCACCAAGGCGACGAUCCGUAGCUGGGCUGAGAGGACGAUCAGCCACACUGGGACUGAGACACGGCCCAGACUCCUACGGGAGGCAGCAGUAGGGAAUCUUGCGCAAUGGGCGAAAGCCUGACGCAGCGACGCCGCGUGAGGGAAGAAGGCCUUCGGGUUGUAAACCUCUUUCAGGAGGGACGAAGCCACUCGGGUUAAUAGCCCAGAGGGUGACGGUACCUCCAGAAGAAGCCCCGGCUAACUACGUGCCAGCAGCCGCCGUAAUAC